rnacentral:rRNA from 1 species
UUCCUCUUUUUCAUUGAUCAAACUCAUGCAUACAUGUUUAAUUAUUGUCUUUUGCAUUUGAAACCACAAGAAUUUGUUCACAAGUCUUAAAUAAUCAACAAAUCAUAUAACUAACUAGGCCGUGAGUCCUUUGGGAGAACGAUACUUGGUCUUACCGAGUUUAUUACUUGAUACGAUUCAGUCACACUUGCCGAGGGUUAAACAAGUUUUUGGUUCUGUUUUUCGGUGUUCAUAAAUUUUUCAUCACGCUGUCGGCGGGUCGGGUUGUUUCGGAAUGCAGCCCCAAUCGGGCGGUAACUUUCGUCCAAGGCUAAAUACUAACAAGAGACCGAUAGCGAACAAGUACCGCGGGGGAAAGAUGAAUAGGACUUUGAAAAGAGAUUCAAAGUGUGGUUGAAAUUGUCGGGAGGGAAGCGGAUGAGAGUCGACGAUGUUUCUCGGCCGGAUGUGGAACAGUCCUAACUAGUCUGCCGAUCGACUCGAGAUAUGAACGACACAGAUUGUGACGGUGGCCCAAGCCUGGGCUGUUGAAAUGCUCGUGGACACGUCAUCAUUGCGAUUGUGGACGACAACACGCGCGUUAGGCGUGUCUCAGCACGUGCGUGCUCCAAGAGUCGGCCUGUGGGCUCCCCAUUCGUCCCGUCUUGAAACACGGACCAAGGAGUCUAACAUGUGUGCGAGUCAAUGGGUGAGUAAACCCGUAAGGUGUAAGGAAGCUGAUUGGUGGGAUCCCCUUGUGGGUUACACCACCGAACGACCCUGAUCUUCUGUGAAGGGUUCGAGUGAGAGCAUACUUGUCGGGGCCCGAAAGAUGGUGAAUUAUGCCUGAGCGGGGCGAAGCCAGAGGAAACUCUGGUGGAGGCCCGCAGCGAUACUAACGUGCAAAUCGUUCGUCUGACUUGGGUAUAGGGGCGAAAGACUAAUCGGACCGUCUAGUAGCUGGUUCCCUCCGAUGUUUCCCUCAGGAUAGCUAGAGCUCGCGGGCAAGUUCUAUAGGGUAAAGACAAUGAUUAGAGGAAUUGGGGGCACAACGCCCUCGACCUAUUCUCAAACUUUAAAUAGGUAGGACCGUGCGACUACUCUGUUUUGCCGUGCCACGGAGUCGAGAGCUCCAAGUGGGGCAUUUUUGGUAAGGAGAACUGGCGAUGUGGGAUGAACCGAAAGCUGGGUCACGGUGCCCAACUGCACGCUAACCUAGACCCCACAAAGGGUGUUGGUUGAUUAAGAUAGUAGGAUGGUGGUCAUGGAAGUCGAAAUCCACUAAGGAGUGUGUAACAACUCACCUUCCGAAUCAACUAGCCCCAAAAAUGGAACUCGGUCGUCGGGGCAAGGACCAAGCCCCGAUUAGUAGGAGGGUGCGGCGGUCGCUGCAAAACCCAGGGCAUGAGCUCGGGCGGAGCGGUCGUCGGUGCAGAUCUUGGUGGUAGUAGAAAAUAUUCGAAUGAGAACUUUAAAGGCCGAAGAGGGGAAAGGUUCCAUGUGAACGACACUUGCACAUGGGUUAGUCGAUCCUAAGGGACGGGGGAAGCCCGUCUGAUAGCGCUUUUAGCACGUACUUUGACAGGGAAUCGGGUUAAAAUUCCUGAACCGGGACGUGGCGACUGACGACAACGUUAAGGAGACCGGAGACGUCGGCGAGGGCCCUGAAAAGAGUUAUCUUUUCUGUUUAAUAGCUUGCCCACCCAGGAAACGGCUCAACCAGAGGUAGGGUCCAGCGACUGGAAGAGACCGCACAUCGCGUGGUGUCCGUUGCGCCCCCGGCGGCCCUUGGAAAUCCAGAGGACCGAGUGGCUCCCACGCCCAGUCAUACUCAUAACCGCAUCAGGUCUCCAAGGUGAACAACCUCUGGUCGAAGGAACAAUGUAGGCAAGAGAAGUCGGCAAAAUGGAUCUGUAACCUCGGGAAAAGGAUUGGCUCUAAGGGCUGGGCACGGGGGCCCAGUCCCGAACCAGUCGUCUGUCGGUGGACUACUCGAGCUGCUCCCGCGGUGAGAUCGGGUCGUCGCGUGCCGGUCGGAGGACGGGUUGGGAACGGGCCCUUCGGGGCCUCUUCCCCAGGCGUCGAACAGUCGACUCAGAACUGGUACGGUCAAGGUGAUUCCGACUGUUUAAUUAAAAUAAAGCAUUGCGAUGGUCCCUGCGGAUGUUGAUGCAAUGUGAUUUCUGCCCAGUGCUCUGAAUGUGAAAGUGAAGAAAUUCAACCAAGCGCGGGUAAACGAUGGGAGUAACUAUGCUCUCUUAAGGUAGCCAAAUGCCUCGUCAUCUAAUUAGUGACGCGCAUGAAUGGAUUAAUGAGAUUCCCAUUAUCCCUGUCUACUGUCCAGCGAAACCACAACCAAGGAAACGGGCUUGGUGGAAUCAGCGUGGAAAAAAGACCUUGUUGAGAUUGACUAUAGUCCGACUUUGUGAAAUGACUUGAGAGGUGUAGGAUAAGUGGGAGCUCGAAAUAGUGAAAGUGAAAUACCACUACUUUUAACGUUAUUUUACUUAUUCCGUGAAUCGGAGGCGGGGCGCUACCCCUCUUUUUGGUCCCAAGGUCGGCUUCGAUCGGUCGAUCCGGGCGGAAGACAUUGUCAAGUGGGAAGUUUGGCUGGGGCGGCACAUCUGUUAAAAGAUAACGCAGGUGUCCUAAGAUGAGCUCAACGAGAACAUAAAUCUCGUGUGGAACAAAAGGGUAAAAGUUCGUUUGAUUCUGAUUUCCAGUACGAAUACGAACCGUGACAGCGUGACUUAUCAAUCCUUUAGUCCUUCGGAAUUUGAAGCUAGAGGUGUCAGAAAGUUACCACAGGGAUAAUUGGCUUGUGGCAGCCAAGCGUUCAUAGCGACAUUGCUUUUAGAUCGUUCGGUGUCGGCUCUUCCUAUCAUUGUGAAGCAUAAUUCACCAAGUGUUGGAUUGUUCACCAACCAACAGGGAACGUGAGUUGGGUUUAGACCGUCAUGAGACAGGUUAGUUUUACCCUAUUGAUGACAGUGUCGCAAUAGUAAUUCAACCUAGUACGAGAGGAACCAUUGAUCGACACAAUUGGUCGUCGUAGUUGGUUCAAAAGCCAGUGGCGCGAAGCUACUGUGCUUUGGAUUAUGACUAAACGCCUCUAAGGAAGAAUCCGGGCUAAAAUCGAUGCGUGUGCUUGUCGUUUGUUUGCCGACCAGUAGUAGGGGGCUUUGCCCCCUAGAGGCACGUGCCGUUGGUGAACCUGGUAAGGUGAAUAAGACUUAUGAGACACCUUGAAGCACAAUUCCCGUCAAGCGACGGGUAGAAUCCUUUGCAAACAACUUAAAUACGCGACGGGGAAUUGUAAGUGACAGAGUGGCCUUGUUGCCACGAUCCACUGAGAUUCAGCCAUUGUCGCUUUGAUUCGU